AUUGAACGCUGGCGGCAGGCCUAACACAUGCAAGUCGAACGGUAACAGGAAGAAGCUUGCUUCUUUGCUGACGAGUGGCGGACGGGUGAGUAAUGUCUGGGAAACUGCCUGAUGGAGGGGGAUAACUACUGGAAACGGUAGCUAAUACCGCAUAACGUCGCAAGACCAAAGAGGGGGACCUUCGGGCCUCUUGCCAUCGGAUGUGCCCAGAUGGGAUUAGCUAGUAGGUGGGGUAACGGCUCACCUAGGCGACGAUCCCUAGCUGGUCUGAGAGGAUGGCCAGCCACACUGGAACUGAGACACGGUCCAGACUCCUACGGGAGGCAGCAGUGGGGAAUAUUGCACAAUGGGCGCAAGCCUGAUGCAGCCAUGCCGCGUGUAUGAAGAAGGCCUUCGGGUUGUAAAGUACUUUCAGCGGGGAGGAAGGGAGUAAAGUUAAUACCUUUGCUCAUUGACGUUACCCGCAGAAGAAGCACCGGCUAACUCCGUG
rnacentral:rRNA from 1 species